AUUAUGUAUGGGUGAAGUCUGCCAUUCUUUCCAAAUUACAUUAAUCCUGAGACUUGCAGGCAAAGAUUCCACUCCCUGGACAUUCAACCCUGAUGAGAGCCAUUAAGAGUUGUAUGUGAUGCUCUUUGGGAAAUGGAUCCAGCCAAAAGGUAUCGAUCAAAGAGCAUGACACGGAUUCAGCAACGGGGGCCAGCAAGCUGGCCGAUGUCUUUGUGGCUGCACGGAGAAAGGGUCAACCAUGGAGCUACAAUGCAUGGAGGAUGACAAAGGACAGCCACAAACCAGCCCAACAGUUCCAACAGGGGGAAGCAUCCAGUGCAGAAAGCAAAGGAGAAGGCGCCAGAAGCUUAGUUGGACAUCAUAAGUGAUGAGAAUAUCCAGCAAAAUGGCAUCCUCUAUCGUCAGCGUUGCACCUAGUGGUUCCCCAAGCAGCUAGAAACGCCAUACUUGCCUUGGGGCACUCGGUUCCCUGGGCUGGCCACCUGGGCCCA